rnacentral:rRNA from 1 species
CUACGGGCCGCUGCAGUGGGGAAUAUUGGACAAUGGGGGAAACCCUGAUCCAGCAAUGCCGCGUGUGUGAAGAAGGCCUGCGGGUUGUAAAGCACUUUCGGUUGGGAGGACUGCUUCUAGCACUAAUAUUGUUGGAAGUUGACGUUACCUUCAGAAGAAGCACCGGCUAACUCCGUGCCAGCAGCCGCGGUAAUACGGAGGGUGCAAGCGUUAAUCGGAAUUACUGGGCGUAAAGCGCGCGUAGGCGGCUAGAUCAGUCGGGUGUGAAAGCCCCGGGCUUAACCUGGGAACUGCAUCCGAUACUGUCUAGCUGGAGUACAGGAGAGGAGAGUGGAAUUCCACAUGUAGCGGUGAAAUGCGUAGAUAUGUGGAGGAGCACCAAUGGCGAAGGCAGCUCUCUGGCCUGAUACUGACGCUGAGGUGCGAAAGCGUGGGGAGCAAAUAGGAUUAGAUACCCCUGUAGUC